rnacentral:rRNA from 1 species
CCUACGGGAGACAGCAGUGAGGAAUAUUGGUCAAUGGACGGGAGACUGAACCAGCCAAGCAGCGUGAGGGAGGAAGGUACAGAGGAGCGUAAACCUCGUUUGUAAGGGAAUAAAGGCGGGGACGUGUCCCCGGUUGAGUGUACCUGAAGAAAAAGCAUCGGCUAACUCCGUGCCAGCAGCCGCGGUAAUACGGAGGAUGCGAGCGUUAUCCGGAUUUAUUGGGUUAAAAGGGUGCGCAGGCGGUCUGUUAAGUCAGCGGUCAAAGCCCGGGGCUCAACCCCGGCCCGCCGUUGAAACUGGCAGUCUCGAGUUGGGUAGAGGUAUGCGGAAUGCGCGGUGUAGCGGUGAAAUGCAUAGAUAUCACGCAGAACUCCGAUUGCGAAGGCAGCAUGCCGGAUCCACACUGACGCUGAGGCACGAAAGCGUGGGUAUCGAACAGGAUUAGAUACCCGUGUAGUC